CGUGUAGGCGGCCCGGUAAGUCUGCUGUGAAAACCCGGGGCUCAACCCCGGGCGUGCAGUGGAAACUGCCGGGCUAGAGGGCGGCAGAGGCGAGUGGAAUUCCCGGUGUAGCGGUGAAAUGCGCAGAUAUCGGGAGGAACACCAGUAGCGAAGGCGGCUCGCUGGGCCGUCCCUGACGCUGAGACGCGAAAGCUAGGGGAGCGAACA
rnacentral:rRNA from 1 species